UGCUCUGAACAUGUAUGCAUGCAUAUAUGUAUUUAUAUAUUUAUUUAGCAAAUGUGUAUUUCAUAAACUAUGCAUUUCAUCUUCCUGCUACACAGGAAGAUAAUGGUGUAGAUAGAGAUGUUUGUGUAGGAGGAUUAAACAACAGUCCUUCAUUCAGAGCUAAUGCAUUCAAUUACCUGGCCAUGCUGACGGCAGUCUCUUCACAGAGAGCUGUGGGUAAGUGGUUGCAUUGUUGAUUACCUGAAGCUCCUCCAAACACAAAGACCCAGCUGCUUUCUCAUGUCUCUGCCUUUGACAGAGAGCCCAUCGGCCUUGGGAGAGGACAACAAGAAACCAUCUAAAAGAGACUAAGGGGAAGGUGCAAAGAAUAGCAGCUGAUGUGGAGAAAUGUUUGACGCUACAAGACUCUGAAUCUGAUUUUAUUAGGUCCACCCAGUGGCUUUUGACUAUUUGAGGGUCAGAUGGUUGUGAAUUCAUACCUCAACAUUGUUGCUGGAUUUGCAGUCUUAUUACUUCAGUCUGGCAUCCUGGGAGCAGGCAUCUUUUGCACACUUGAAUUUUUUCAAAGAUGUUUUCUUGGAAUCACACACUCACUGGAAACAAGAUGGUCACAUAGAGGCAAAAAAGAGGGACAACCCUCAUGUGUGUGCUCAUCUCAGAAAGUUGAUGGAUUUUCAGUAUGUAUUUAUUAAAUAGUCUUUUGCAGGAAUAUCCUUAAUUUAAUAGAAC